rnacentral:rRNA from 1 species
GCUUGUCUCAAAGAUUAAGCCAUGCAUGUCUCAGUAUAAGCUUUUGCACGGUGAAACUGCGAAGGGCUCAUUAAAACAGUUACAAUCUAUUUGAUGGUUGUUUGUACACGGAUAACUGUGGUAAUUCUAGAGCUAAUUCGUGCUUCCAGACCUGACUUCUUGGAAGGGUUGUAUUUAUUAGUUCCAAAACCAAUUCAAGUUCUGCUUGGUGUGUUGGUGAUUCAUAAUAAUUCAACGAAUUGCACGGCAUCAGCUGGUGAUGUAUCAUUCGAGUUUCUGACCUAUCAGCUUCCGACGGUAGGGUUUUGGCUUACCGUGGCAAUGACGGGUAACGGAGAAUUAGGGUUCGAUUCCGGAGAGGGAGCCUGAGAAAUGGCUACCACAUCUAAGGAAGGCAGCAGG